rnacentral:lncRNA from 1 species
AAUUAUUUUCCCUACUACGUAAAGCUGGUACAAUAGCCGUACGGUUUUUUAUAUACCGAAAAGCAUUCAUUCAUCAUGGAGUCCAGGAUGAUUUACGAUGUGAUGGUAGAACAAUGCUGGAUUACCACCCUAUAAUUCUUGAAACUACAUUAGUUUCUAAUGCCAGUGGAUCGGCAAGGCUGAGACUUGCAAACUCAUCAACAUCUGGAAAAUGAAAUUUGCAAAUUCCUACAAAGAUCCUAUGCUUCAGCUGAUGUGAUUUUUCCACCAGUCCUGAUGUAUCAACACUGGUGCAGAGUCUACGACAAGCCUUGGCCCUUGAAGCUAAAUUCCAACCAAAGCUUCAACUUCUGUCAACACUCAACAGCCAGCAAUACAGGAGAAAGCGGUGAAAUUAUGUGUGCAAUGAGGGAUGGAGCUGCUCAUGUUCUUUGCUGCAUGAAAGUCUGGUAUGAUCUUCCUUAUGCAGUUCUUCUGGAUGCUCUCAACAUGAUGGACUGGUUCAUGAGCCGCAUGAAAGCACUCCUAAACACCUCUCAUGCAUAGCAAUCAGCUCCUUCCAUCUAGCAGCUUGCCAAUGGGUGGAGAGGAUUAAACAGAACAACAUUGAGGUAUCUUCCAUUCAGAGUCCAAUGUAGAUUGUUCCUGAACCUCAAUAUCUGGUAACGAUAUCUUAAUGUAAAUGUACCGCCGGAGACAUCAACCGGAUGGAAAAAAUUGUCGAAGCCAAGAUAGCUUGUCUACCCCAAAAAGAACCGGUCACGACCUUAACAUUCCUCAACCUGUAUCACUCACUUCUCUCGACGACUUUUUACCUGCCGCUCUUCAGCAAGAGCAAGACCUUCUUAUUCUUUCAUGCAAGCAGGAGACCAUUUGCUGUGACGCAAAAUAAUGCUGCCUUUCCCUCAUCUCUUUUGACUUUCGUCCUACUGUUUGUCGAAAUAAAGUGUCACCAGCAGGCCAUCGAGGUUAUUAUCAGAGACGUUUUACUAGAACUUCAGCGACUUGUUCAGGUCAAAGAUGACUAGUUGAAGGAGUGUAUAAGAAUGGUCACUUCGGCAAUGGCACCUUACGAUGGCUAUGCCCAAAGCAAUUCGUCUCAUCGUCAACGACUUACCUGGAAGUUGUCCUUUUUCUACUAUUUCUUUGCCUUCUAAACCAUUUAUAAUAAGUUUUGCCUUUAGUAAAGCAAAAUGCCUAGCUUUUUCUAGUCCUAUACCACUUACUUGUGGAGCCUGUGUAAAUUCGGGUCUCAGUGAUACAUGAUUACCACUCUUAACAAGAAAACUAUAUAUUUCUUUACUCACUACAUCAGAAGUUUCUCCAAGUGUGCGGUCGAAAAUUUUAGUCAAAAUUCCCUUCAUAGAUAAGAGAAA